GAUGAACGCUGGCGGCGUGCCUAAUACAUGCAAGUCGAGCGAACAGACGAGGAGCUUGCUCCUCUGACGUUAGCGGCGGACGGGUGAGUAACACGUGGAUAACCUACCUAUAAGACUGGGAUAACUUCGGGAAACCGGAGCUAAUACCGGAUAAUAUAUUGAACCGCAUGGUUCAAUAGUGAAAGACGGUUUUGCUGUCACUUAUAGAUGGAUCCGCGCCGCAUUAGCUAGUUGGUAAGGUAACGGCUUACCAAGGCAACGAUGCGUAGCCGACCUGAGAGGGGGAUCGGCCACACCGGAACUGGGACACGGUCCAGACUCCUACGGGGGCAGCAGUAGGGAAUCUUCCGCAAUGGGCGAAAGCUUGACGGAGCAACGCCGCGUGAGUGAUGAAGGUCUUCGGAUCGUAAAACUCUGUUAUUAGGGAAGAACAAAUGUGUAAGUAACUAUGCACGUCUUGACGGUACCUAAUCAGAAAGCCACGGCUAACUACGUG
rnacentral:rRNA from 1 species